rnacentral:rRNA from 1 species
GACGAACGCUGGCGGCGUGCCUAAUACAUGCAAGUAGAACGCUGAAGAGAGGAGCUUGCUCUUCUUGGAUGAGUUGCGAACGGGUGAGAAACGCGUAGGUAACCUGCCUUGUAGCGGGGGAUAACUAUUGGAAACGAUAGCUAAUACCGCAUAACAAUGGAUGACACAUGUCAUUUAUUUGAAAGGGGCAAUUGCUCCACUACAAGAUGGACCUGCGUUGUAUUAGCUAGUAGGUGAGGUAAUGGCUCACCUAGGCGACGAUACAUAGCCGACCUGAGAGGGUGAUCGGCCACACUGGGACUGAGACACGGCCCAGACUCCUACGGGAGGCAGCAGUAGGGAAUCUUCGGCAAUGGGGGCAACCCUGACCGAGCAACGCCGCGUGAGUGAAGAAGGUUUUCGGAUCGUAAAGCUCUGUUGUAAGUCAAGAACGGGUGUGAGAGUGGAAAGUUCACACUGUGACGGUAGCUUACCAGAAAGGGACGGCUAACUACGUG